rnacentral:tRNA from 1 species
UCCGGGGUAGUUCAAUGGCAGAACGCUGCGCUGUUAACGCAGAUGUUGGGGGUUCGAGUCCCUCCCCUGGAGCCA